AAGGAAUCGUGUGUGAUCAGAUAAUUAGCGGGACUGGAGGAACCCCGCAGUGAUCUAGGCCCAGUACUAGGCAGGGAUGGUAAAAUGGACAAGUGUUCAAUAAAUAUUUCUGUCCUGUAUUUGUAAAGAAAUGGCAUGGCAUAUCCAUAUCUUACAAUAUUAAAGAAAUACUUUCUAUUUCAACAGUAACUGUGGAGGAUGCUAAACAGCAUCCGCUAAACUUGGAGCUCGUCUACGCUUGAAAUGCUACAGAGGCACAGCCGCAGUGCUUCAGUAUAGACACUCACUUCUGCAACUGGAGAGGUUCUCCUGUCACUAGAGUUAAUCCACUUCCCCCAGGAGAUGGUAGCCAGAUCGACAGAAGAAUCUUUCAAUUGAUUUAGUGCUGGUCUACUCCAGGGGUUAGGUCCGCUUAACUAUGUCACUCAGGGGUGUGGAUUUUUCACACCCUGAGCGACGUAGCUGGGUUGACUUAACUUUGUAUAGACCUGACCUUAAACUUUUUAAAUAUGUAGGAGUGGGGCCAUGUUUACACUACAAACUUACACAAGUGAUGUUGGCAUAAAGCUGUCACAGUUAGUAUGGCACUUGUACUCAUGCAUACUUGGCUUCUUGUGUCAGCGCUGUGCAUAUUCACCAGGAGUGCUUGUGUCAAUGCACAGUGCAGUGCUCCAUGGGUCGGUAUCCCAGUGCGCAACCUGACACCAUCCAGCACACUGUCUUUUGGAAAGUUUUGGCAAUACACUGUGGGGCAGAAAGGAGUUGUUCAGGGGUGACUGGGAGCAAGGGGUUAACCUCCCGCCAUGCAACUGUCUCCGUCCCAUAAUGUCACUUAUAUCCCAUACUUUUCAGACCUUUUUUAAAAAUCCCACAAACCCACACAGCCUUCCUCGCUGUCAGCCAUCUCUGACGGACUCUCCACUAUUGUCAUAAGCAUUGCAAGGACAGGACACGCAUUCCUCCAGUAUUUGCAGAGCUGCAAGAAGAACUGAAUGAGCAGGUAACAUGGUGAGUUAUUGGAGGACAAACUGCUGCGGGACAUAGAAAGAAACAAUUCAAGGUUGUUGAUGGCAUUCACAGAGCAGCUGCUGCUGAUGGAGCACUGCACCUGCAUGGGAUUGCAUUGUAAUACAGGUUUGGGAUGAGGAGCAUUGGCUGUAGAACUUUCAAAUGCACAAGGUCCUAUUUCUGGAUGUGAGUGCCGAGCUCGCCCCAGGCCUCCAGUGCCGGGACACUAAAAUGAGAGUUGCACUGGCAGUAGAGAAGCUAGUGGCAAAUGCACUGUGGAAACUCGCAGAGUUGGAUUGCUACCAGUCAUUGGGAAAUCAUUUUGGAGAUGGAAAAUCCGCUGUGGGGUCUGUUGUCAUGCAAGUGUGCGGGGCCAUUAAUCAUCUCCUGCUAUGUAGGACUGUGACUCUCGGCAAUGUGCAGGACGUAGUGGAUGGAUUUUCAGCAGUGAGGUUCCCAAACUGCGGUGGAGCAAUAGACAGCACACACAUCCCUAUUUCGGUACCAGACCACCUUGCCACAGAGUAUAUCAACAGAAAGGGCUACUUUUUUAUGGUUAUGCAAGCAUUGGUGGAUCACUGGGAUUGCUUCACUGACGUCAAUUUUAGCCGGUCAGGGAAGGUCCAUGAUGCUCAUAUCUUUAAGAACACAGGACUGUUCAGAAAGCUACAAACAGAGACUUUCUUGCCCAACUGGCAAAUUAACUACGGUGAUGUUGAAUUGCCAAUAGUGAUCCUGGAGGACCCAGCCUACCCUUUGCCCCUGGCUCAUGAAGCUGUAAACCAACCACCUUGAUAGCGCCAAGGAAAGAGUCGACCACCAGCUCAGGAGGUGCAGAAUGACAGCUGAAUGUGCUUUUGGUAAAUUGAAGGUAUACUGACAUUGUUUACUCACAAAAAUGGAUCUCGAUGAAAAACAAAUCCCAAUGGUUCUAGCUUCCUACUGUGUCCUGCAUAUUUGUGAAGCAAAGGGGGAAAAGUUGCCACCAGGAUGGAUGGUUGAGGUGGACCGUCUGUCUGCUGAGUUUGAACAGCCAGACACAAGGGCUAUUAGAAAAGCUCAAUGCAGAUCUAUAUGGUUCAGGGAGGCUUUGAAAGAGCUCUUUAAUGGUAAGCCACAGUAAUGCAUUUUGUGGUACUGUGCUCUACCUGGCCCUUCUCUUUUGGGGCCUGUUAGGAAUUAUGUAUGAAUAUAAUGCUGUUAAUUCACCUAUGAAUUUUUUGAUGCUUGCUGUACAUUUAGGAUUUUUACACUGUUACUGGUCAUAUGAGUUAUGUCAUACCUGUACAGUAACAAGUGGGUGCUUUCAGAACUGCUAGGCACUCCGCAGCUUAUGCUGUGAACUAAUGAAGAUUAAUUUCCAAAUAAUAGAAUUUUAUUCAGUAACAAAACCAGUGCAAAGAAAAGUUUGUGCAGUUUAAAAACAAAUACGUUAAAAACUUAAUACAUUAAUGGAACGGACCUUAACAAAGGGAAAAAAUAUUCAUGCCAUUUUACCUAUACAUAUAGCAACCAUGGCUUUCACAGGUCAAUGCCUGUGAAGCUGUGAUUGUCCUUAAUGUCCAUGGGGUGGAAUGGCAGGGGUAGAUAUGUGGCCCCUGAUAUCAGGUGGAAUGUUGAGGGCGCUUUAGGGAGAUGCUGUAAUAAAGUUCUCCAUGGACUGCUAUAGGAGGUGAGCCUAUGAUUGUUGAACCUGUAGAUCCACAAGAGUCUGCAGCAUCUUUGUUUGCUGCUGGAGAAGCUCCAUUACAUCCUGGUGCAUCUCCCUCUCCUUUUACUGCUGAAAUUCCUGGUUCUUUCUCUUGUCUGCUCUUUCCUUCUCUAGGUUGUUUGCAGUGUUCACCCUCCAGGCCCUGUGUUCACAGUCUGAUGCAGCACGGGCUUGCAGGAUUGCACUGAACAUGUCAUUCCAAGUCGUCUUAUUUUUUCUCCUUAUCUGACUCCCCUUCCCACAGGUGUGGAAGGGGAACCCCUUAAGGCCACAACAGCAGCAGCUACAGAUAAAACACACAGAGGUACCAUUGUCAAUAUAGUCACAACAGAAAGUAAAAGUUAAGAUUCAGAGCUCCCUUCCCUUGCUCCUCUAAAGAUUUAAACAAGACAUGCUUAUUGACACUUCUGCUUCAGAAUGCUUGUGCACGUCCCCACUCACAGCACCAGUCGUGGCAGAGUUAAUUUUAGCUGAUAACUCACUCCUGAGUGUAACAAAGGCAUAGAGAACACAGCUGCUGCUGGCAUCCCGAAGCUGCCUGGGCCUGUAUGCUGCUAGCCUGUGUACUACAAUGGUGCCUGCCGAAGUUGCAGCUAACUAACAUGGGAAAGUGUCCUACCCUUGAGGAAGAAGUAAUGCUGCCAUCCCUAGAAACCUUCAGGAGAGGAUUGCAGAGUACCUCUAUGAACAUUUCAUCAAAAUCUCUCAGGAGGAUUCAAGGGACCACCCCCAUGUACACAGGAGGAGGAGCAAUAUUGCUCAGAACUGGAAGCCAUGGGAGUGGAGUCGGAGGCAGGGUGCCGGAGAUGAUACACAUGGCGGCAUGUAACUGCGUAUCCACCAGUUAGGUGUGUGAUGAUCGACUCCAAACUGGUGCACAGUACUCCACCACCGAAUACGAAGUGGAAAGAGCUGACGUCCGCAAAGUUGGAGCACGAGUACCCCAUGACGAACCUGCCAGUUUGCUAAGACGAUUGUUGCACUGUUUUCUUCAGAAACUUCUCUUUUGGGGCAAGAGGAAGUUGUUUAACAUUAACCACAAUAAUUUAUCCAAGUUAAAAGGGACUGUUUGGGUACUAGCAGGACACCAGAACAUUCUUGGAAAAGUUUGAAUUUCAGAGUAGUGUCCCAACUGAUCCAGGUGUCUCUCAAAGGCCAGAAGAGCUUACAGGAUCUUUUCAAGAGGGUAACAGUCAUUGGACUAAUUUAGAAGCCUCAUUGAUAAAGGGUGACUUAUAUUCUGGAUUUACAAAGGAAAAGAAAGAAAUAUUCCUGGCAUCUCCAACUCUAGAGCCAAGAUGGGGAAAAAAGCAGCUGACAUCACCAUAAGGAGGGAGAAAUGAUCUUCAGACGGACAGAAACCCAAUUGCUAAUCUAGGGUCAUUCAGAUUUCACCAUCAAAGGCUACGUUAUCAAUUUGCCAGGAGCAUGAGAGAGACAGGUAAUUUGCAUCUAUAUACUUUUACAACUAAAAAGUAAAUGUACUCUAGUAUUUGUUUGUGUUUUUAUCUUCCUGAGUAGAUUAACAGAAAUUUCUUCCUGGCUGAGUUUACCUGCAAUGGAAAAACAAAACUGUUCUUAGAAGGGAAAAGCAGAAAUGAGAUUUGGCCUAAUAGAAUAUGUAGUGUCCAUGAAUGUACCUCCAGGCUCCUUUAUUGCAACUCAUAUCUAGGAAUGAAGCUUCACACCUGGAAAAUCAUCAACCAAUACAAAAUGCAGUUGUCUUCUUAGUGAACACAUCACCCCAGUGUUCCUUCCUCUGUAUUUGGUCCUUACUGAAUAGAGUCUAUUUCAAGGUAUCGGUUCAGAUAUUCAAAACCAUCCAUGCAAAUGGCCCUGGCUACCCAAGAAAUCAUCUCUGUGUCCACAGUGAUGACCUCCCACAACAGAUGCUUUCCACAAAAACAAUGAAACUGCUGACCAAUAGUAGGAGGCUCAUGAGUGUGAGGGACAGAACUUUCACAGCAGCCAGACCUACACGAUGAAACUCACUUCUGCAAGAGAUGAGUGACACCAAGCCUCACCCUAUUCAGAACUAAGAUCUUGUCUACAAGAAAGUUGUACCAAUGUAAUUAAGUUGGUUUCUAAAUGUAAAUCUCAUCUCUUCAAUUUAGUUUCCCUUCAAUAAUUUCUUCACACACAAAUGGAUACCCAGGACACCCACUCAUGCACACAAACUGCCUAUAAACUAAUCAAAUUAUUUCUCUUACAGGCUGGGAAGGAAGAGAGACUUUUAUUAUCCUUUUAGUUUGGGAGGCAACAGAUGCUAAUGCAAUGGGGUUUAGAAAGUACCUAAAUAGAAAGGUAGAUCUCCCAAUCCAAGUGUGCAUCCACACUAGGAAGAAAAGGUGUUUUACCAUAUAUUAGCUAACACAUGGUAACAUCCUAGUGUGGACAGGGCAGUCUUAGUUUUCACAUGUUAGCAGGUUGAGGUAAAUGCUAACUAGGGGAAGCCUAAAGCUAAUAUAUGGCAAAAUACUCCUUUUUUCCUAGUGAAGACAAGGCCUAAGAUAAAUUAAACUGGAGGGUAGCCAAAGCUGCACUUACUCCACAUUCUCCACAUUGAGCCAUUAGAGCACUCUUUUGGGACUCUUCUUCUAACCCCUCUUCACCAUAAAUUGCUUUCUGUCUGUCCUGGUUCUCAGCUUUUGGUUGCGGAGCAAGUUGGAAGAUCAUUUGUAUUUAGAGUUUUUAACAGCUGAAGUCCAACCUAAGCCUCUCAGUUCAAGCCUUUACUGCAUUUGAAAAGGGGAAGUAAAAUCCCCAAAAGAAGUCCCUUGAACAUUGACAGGGAAAGUGAAAACUUAUAAAUAACCGAUUACUUGGUACUAAGUGCAUGGAUGAUCCCAGUAAGGACAGAUGCUGUGGUUACUGAUUUAUGGCUAUGGAGGACUUAAGAACAGUUCCAAUGUCAAUGGAGUUUCAGACAUGCUAAUAGCAGCUCUUUGCUGCUUGCUGCCCAGAAGCUGCUUGGCAGGGUCUCAUUUCACAUUACUUAAUUUUCGUCUGAAAAUUGUGUUUUCUGGCCUAAAUUGAUGGUUAUAAUUAUUAUUCCUCUGAAUUAUUUCUAAUAUGAAAUGCAGCAACCGUUUAAUAAUUCACAGAAACAGUACACAGCAGUUUUAGAUCAGAAACAAGGGAGAAUCUGCAGAGGACUUUAAGGAGGUGGAUAUCUUGAUUCUCAUUAAGUUUAUUACACUCUAUGUUUUAAUCUUGUCUUUAGUCCUUGAAUUCGUACUUGUGUUAUUGUAGACCACCCGUGAUACACUAGCUGAAGGUUCUGUGGAGAUAACAUUACCAUGUAUUUUUGAGGUAUGUAUUGGUUUUUUCAAUUACUUUUCAAACCAAGUCAGAGAAAGGACAUCAUUCACCAGGGUUAUCACCUUAAAUUUGAAAUAUAUAUUGGUACAUUUGUGUAAACAUCACAUGGGAGACACAAGAAGAAUUGGAGUCUUGCCAUUUUUAGGACACAGUGAAAGACUUCUUUUUGUGCAAAUCUGUUCACAGAAAGAGGUCUACAAUGAUCUGUAUGUUCUCCAGGUGUGGAUUUAGCCUUUUUAGGGUUCUGGAUAAAUCAAGGGAGGAGAGGAGAGUUUAGGCCAAUAUAGGGAGAACCAGUGUGAAUCUAAUUUUUGUUACAUGACACCUAGAGACGUAGGGGAAUUAGAAGUAUAGACAGCAGACUUUCAGUGUCCUGCAUGCAAAUCUCAAUGGUGCCCCCUGCUGGUUUGGGUUGGUUUCAAAAGGUUUUGUUUAAGGCAUCUUACAUCUAGAGCUGGGUAAAUAAUUUAUUUUUUGGUUCAACCUGCAAACCAAAAAAUCAGAAACAAUAGUUAGAUAGAUUCCAAAAAUGUUCAGAAUUUGUCAGCAAAUAUGUGUGUGACCUUUAGACGAGUGCAGGGGUGGCCAACCUGUGGCUCUGGAGCCACAUGCAGCUCUUCAGAAGUUAAUAUGCGGCUCCUUGUAUAGACAGGCACUGACUCCGGGGCUGGAGCUAUACAUGCCAACUUUCCAAUGUGCCAGGGGGUGCUCACUGCUCAACCUCUGGCACUGCCACAGGCCCUGUCCCCACUCCAGCCCUUCCCAUCCCCUCCCCUAAGUUUGCUGUGCCCCCGCACCUCCCCCCCCCCAGCCUCCUGCACACCACGAAACAGCUGAUCGGGAGGUGGAGGAGGGAGAGGGUGGCGCUGAUCAGCAGGGCUGCCGGUGGGUGGGAGGCGCUGGGAAUGGUGGGGGGGAAACUGUUGGGGGGCUGCUGACGUACAUGGCUCUUUGGCAAUAUACAUUGGUAAAUUCUGGCUCCUUCUCAGGCUGGUCACGCCCGGCCUAGUGGUUAGGGCACUUGCUUGGGAAGGAAAAAACUACGGUCUGAAUCCCCACACUGGAGCAGGGAUUCAAUUGAGAGCUGUACUCUCCUAGAUGAGCAUUCUAACCACCAGGCUACAGACAAUUCUGAGAUGGGUCACUCUCAGUCUCUCCUGUUAAAGGUGUUCUACUUUGUAUAAAUACUUAAAUAUUCAUUGGACCAAAGAGAAAGAGUUAGUGAAAAUGACAGUUCCCUGGUGAUUAAGCCACUCACUGGGAGGUAGGAGUUGUGGAUUCAAAUCUUCUCUCUGCCUGAUUUAGAGGAGUGAUUUGAAUUCACAUCUCCCACAUCCCAGGUAAGUGCUCUAACUGCUAGGCUGACAGAUGAAUGGACAUGCUCUCUCUCACUUCUCUGAAGCUGGCCCAAACUAACUGGGUCAAAUUCAUGAUAGUUUCAGCUCAAUCAAAAGUACAUUUUUGGCACAUAACAUAUUUGUUGAAAAAAUGUCAUCCUACUUCACUCUGAUGGAGGAAGGUGGAUUGCCCAGUGUGGCUGUUAAGAGACCAAGGAUUGUUAAUGCCUUCAGUGCUGCAUUAGAACGGGGGAGACUACAAGGACUCACACUCUUGUCGCCUUCUUUGCCAUAUAUUCUGUGUUGUGGUGUACAGCAUAUUCAGUUAUUUACAGUAAGGGUACCAAAUUAAUUCUGUUGAGAAGACAAAUUGCUGUUUAAAAUUAUUUGGUUUUUUUUGUGCACGCAAAGAACUGAUUUGUUGACCAAGUGGUAAUAACCAUGCAAGUUACAUGAUCAGUCAUGUACCUUUAUUAUUGUAAAAUAUGGCUCAUGACGUGAUUCAAGAGUUGCAAUCCAAUUAGAUGACUCGUUCACGUCUCUUAGAGCUGUUAUUUCAGGCUGUGUACAGAUUCAGGAAAACCGCUCUGCCUCAGUUAUGUAUAGGCUACAUGUGUUUCAUAUUUUUAAGAUUUUCUUUACAAUAGUAAGAGCUAGAGAUAUGCUUCUUUUCAUGAAAACUUGCAUUCUGCAAAAUCUAUCAUGUAGGCUGAAUAAAUAACAGAAACAGAC